rnacentral:lncRNA from 1 species
UUGAUUGUGUUUUCUCUCUCUGUCUUCAGUCUGUAUGGAUGCAGUAUUACAGAGGAACAGAGUCUCGUCCUGACUUCAGCUCUGAACUCAAACCCAUCACACCUGAGAGAACUGAACCUGAGAGGGAAUACACUAGGAGACUCUGGAGUGAAGAACCUCAGUGAUCUACUGAUGAACACACGAUGCAAGCUGGAGAAACUAGAUCUGUGUUUAUGCAGUAUUACAGAGAAACAGAGUCUCGUCCUGACUUCAGCUCUGAACUCAAACCCAUCACACCUGAGAGAACUGGAUCUGAGUGAGAAUCACAUAACAAACACAGGAGUGAAUCACUUGUGUGACAUACUGAAGGAUUCACGCUGUAAACUGGAGAGAUUGAGAGUCCCUGAUAGAGUUCAGCCGUCACAGGAUGAUGGAUGCUGUAUAUCAUAGUUAGAGAUGAUGAUGAGAGGAGCAGUG